rnacentral:rRNA from 1 species
GACGAACGCUGGCGGCGUGCUUAACACAUGCAAGUCGAACGAAGUGGCGAACGGGUGAGUAACGCGUAAUCAACCUGCCCUUCAGAGGGGGACAACAGUUGGAAACGACUGCUAAUACCGCAUACUGAAGGAGGGGAUUGCGUCUGAUUGGCUAGUUGGAGGGGUAACGGCCCACCAGGGCGAUGAUCAGUAGCCGGGCUGAGAGGAUGAACGGCCAAAAUGGGAAUGAGAAACGGCCCAGAAUCCUACGGGAGGCAGCAGGGGGGAAUCAUCCGAAAUGGACGAAAGUCUGAAGGAGCAACGCCGGGUGGGUGAUGACGGCCUUCGGGUUGUAAAGCUCUGUUAAUCGGGACGCGGUACCGGAAGAGAAAGCCACGGCUAACUACGUGCCAGCAGCCGCGGUAAUUC